UUCCUGCCCCACGGCAAGACCCUAAGAUGUGGAACUGCCUGAAGUGAGCAAUCUGACCACCAGGGGGCAGCAUGAGUCCAUCGCUUUGUCUGAAAACAGACAGGUCCUAGUCAGCGGCCCUCCUCUCCAAGCAAGCUGAGUCUGCACGUUGGAGUCAUCUGAUGAGCUUUUAGAAAACUGCAGGCAGGACAUUCUUGGGGAGCCCCAAAAACCCCGACCUGAGAAAGCUCUAGAAGCACAGCAUUAGCUCACCACCCACCCCGUACGUCUUGAGUGCUUUGCGAUACCACAGGGUUGUCUGUGACACGUCCAGCCCAGCACUGCCCUGCUCUGCCUGCCUGUCUUUGGGAGGAUGGAUCUGAGGACUAAGGUGACCGCCAUGAUGAAAGACCAGAUUCUCAUGAAGAAACCGUUUGUGAAGGAUUUUGAUCAGGCAACAUGGGCAUGCAGGUUUAAACACAGCCCCCAGCCUUCCAUGCCUGGCAAGCCACUUUCUCCUAUGUUCAUGCAUGUCUAGAUUUCUCAAUGAAAAACGUAGUUGAACUCAUGAAAGCCUAUCUUUAAAAAAUAUUAAAUAGCUAAUCUUAUAAACCCCUAUACACAGUGUCAGUUCACUUUUUUCAUAAAACAUGCCUAGUGGAAUGGCAACAACUGGGAAAAAUUCAGAGCUCAGCAUUUAUGUAUUGAAAAUAUCUCUUAAGUGGCUAUAGGUGUUGGUUUAUAAACUCCAGAAAUA
rnacentral:lncRNA from 10 species